rnacentral:lncRNA from 1 species
CCUAUUGUGCUUACCCUUCUAUGACCUCUAAGCCAACCUCUUUCCGAUGUGCAACACACCGUACUCUCGAGGCCCAAGGCUCUGAUACCAUUCUGUAACGACCCGGAAACCGAUACCCCUCUGUAACGGCCCGAACCGCCACCGGCGCUAGGAUCCAGAUCGGCUUAAGGCCGCCGGGACCCGUAGCAAGCCAAACAUN